AACGAACGCUGGCGGCAUGCCUAACACAUGCAAGUCGAACGAGACCUUCGGGUCUAGUGGCGCACGGGUGCGUAACGCGUGGGAACCUGCCCUUUGGUUCGGAAUAACUCCCCGAAAGGGGUGCUAAUACCGGAUAAUGUCUUCGGACCAAAGAUUUAUCGCCUUUGGAUGGGCCCGCGUUGGAUUAGCUAGUUGGUAGGGUAAAAGCCUACCAAGGCGACGAUCCAUAGCUGGUCUGAGAGGAUGAUCGGCCACACUGGGACUGAGACACGGCCCAGACUCCUACGGGAGGCAGCAGUGGGGAAUAUUGGACAAUGGGCGAAAGCCUGAUCCAGCAAUGCCGCGUGAGUGAUGAAGGCCUUAGGGUUGUAAAGCUCUUUUACCCGGGAUGAUAAUGACAGUACCGGGAGAAUAAGCUCCGGCUAACUCCGUG
rnacentral:rRNA from 1 species